rnacentral:rRNA from 1 species
ACGACCGGCGCACGGGUGAGUAACGCGUAUGCAACCUACCUAUAACACAAUGAUAGCUGGCGGAAACGGGAAUUAAUACUUGAUGACAUUCAAAGAUGGCAUCAUCAAUGAAUCAAAGUUCCGGCGGUUAUAGAUGGGCAUGCGUGACAUUAGCUAGUUGGUGAGGUAGAGGCUCACCAAGGCGACGAUGUCUAGGGGGUCUGAGAGGAUGAUCCCCCACACUGGUACUGAGACACGGACCAGACUCCUAGGGGAGGCAGCAGUGAGGAAUAUUGCGCAAUGGAGGAAACUCUGACGCAGCCAUCCCGCGUGCAGGAUUGACGGCCCUAUGGGUUGUAAACUGCUUUUCUAUACCAAGAAACACCGAUACGUGUAUCGGUUUGCCGGUAGUAUAGGAAUAAGCAUCGGCUAACUCCGUGCCAGCAGCCGCGGUAAUACGGAGGAUGCAAGCGUUAUCCGGAAUCACUGGGUUUAAAGGGUGCGUAGGCGGCAUUAUAAGUCAGAGGUGAAAGCCCACAGCUCAACUGUGGAAUUGCCUUUGAUACUGUCAUUCUUGAGUGUA